rnacentral:rRNA from 1 species
UACGAAGGGGACUAGCGUUGUUCGGAAUCACUGGGCGUAAAGCGCACGUAGGCGGAUUCGUAAGUCAGGGGUGAAAUCCCGGGGCUCAACCUCGGAACUGCCUUUGAUACUGCGGGUCUUGAGUCCGAUAGAGGUGGGUGGAAUUCCUAGUGUAGAGGUGAAAUUCGUAGAUAUUGGGAAGAACACCGGUGGCGAAGGCGGCUCACUGGCUCGUUUCUGACGCUCAUGCACGAUAGCGUGGGGAUCAAACAGG